GACGAACGCUGGCGGCGUGCUUAACACAUGCAAGUCGAACGGAAAGGCCCUGCUUUUGUGGGGUGCUCGAGUGGCGAACGGGUGAGUAACACGUGAGUAACCUGCCCUUGACUUUGGGAUAACUUCAGGAAACUGGGGCUAAUACCGGAUAGGAGCUCCUGCUGCAUGGUGGGGGUUGGAAAGUUUCGGCGGUUGGGGAUGGACUCGCGGCUUAUCAGCUUGUUGGUGGGGGAGUGGCUUACCAAGGCUUUGACGGGUAGCCGGCCUGAGAGGGUGACCGGCCACAUUGGGACUGAGAUACGGACCAGACGCCUACGGGAGGCAGCAGUGGGGAAUAUUGCACAGUGGGCGGAAGCCUGAUGCAGCAACGCCGCGUGCGGGAUGACGGCCUUCGGGUUGUAAACCGCUUUCGCCUGUGACGAAGCGGGAGUGACGGUAAUGGGUAAAGAAGCACCGGCUAACUACGUG
rnacentral:rRNA from 1 species